rnacentral:rRNA from 1 species
UACGUAGGGUGCGAGCGUUAAUCGGAAUUACUGGGCGUAAAGCGUGCGCAGGCGGUUUGUUAAGUCCGCUGUGAAAGCCCAGGGCUCAACCUGGGAAUGGCAGUGGAAACUAGCGAGCUAGAGUGUGGCAGAGGGGAGUGGAAUUCCACGUGUAGCAGUGAAAUGCGUAGAGAUGUGGAGGAACACCAAUGGCGAAGGCAGCCCCCUGGGUUGACACUGACGCUCAGGCACGAAAGCGUGGGGAGCAAACAGG